AUUGAACGCUGGCGGCAUGCUUUACACAUGCAAGUCGAACGGUAACAGCACUUCGGUGGCUGACGAGUGGCGCACGGGUGCGUAAUACAUCGGAACGUGCCUAGUAGUGGGGGAUAACUACUCGAAAGAGUAGCUAAUACCGCAUGAGAUCUAAGGAUGAAAGCAGGGGACCUUCGGGCCUUGCGCUACUAGAGCGGCUGAUGGCAGAUUAGGUAGUUGGUGGGAUAAAAGCUUACCAAGCCGACGAUCUGUAGCUGGUCUGAGAGGACGACCAGCCACACUGGGACUGAGACACGGCCCAGACUCCUACGGGAGGCAGCAGUGGGGAAUUUUGGACAAUGGGCGCAAGCCUGAUCCAGCAAUGCCGCGUGCAGGAUGAAGGCCUUCGGGUUGUAAACUGCUUUUGUACGGAACGAAAAGCCCUCUUCUAAUACAGGAGGGUCAUGACGGUACCGGAAGAAUAAGCACCGGCUAACUACGUG
rnacentral:rRNA from 1 species